UGGAGCAUGUGGUUUAAUUCGAAGCAACGCGAAGAACCUUACCAGGUCUUGACAUCCCGAUGCCCGCUCUAGAGAUAGAGUUUUACUUCGGUACAUCGGUGACAGGUGGUGCAUGGUUGUCGUCAGCUCGUGUCGUGAGAUGUUGGGUUAAGUCCCGCAACGAGCGCAACCCCUAUUGUUAGUUGCCAUCAUUCAGUUGGGCACUCUAGCGAGACUGCCGGUAAUAAACCGGAGGAAGGUGGGGAUGACGUCAAAUCAUCAUGCCCCUUAUGACCUGGGCUACACACGUGCUACAAUGGUCGGUACAACGAGUCGCAAGCCGGUGACGGCAAGCUAAUCUCUUAAAGCCGAUCUCAGUUCGGAUUGUAGGCUGCAACUCGCCUACAUGAAGUCGGAAUCGCUAGUAAUCGCGGAUCAGCACGCCGCGGUGAAUAC
rnacentral:rRNA from 1 species